rnacentral:rRNA from 1 species
UGGGGAAUCUUCCGCAAUGGACGCAAGUCUGACGGAGCAACGCCGCGUGAGUGAAGAAGGAUUUCGGUUCGUAAAACUCUGUUGUUAGAGAAGAACAGCGCAUAGAGUAACUGUUAUGCGUGUGACGGUAUCUAACCAGAAAGCCACGGCUAACUACGUGCCAGCAGCCGCGGUAAUACGUAGGUGGCAAGCGUUGUCCGGAUUUAUUGGGCGUAAAGCGAGCGCAGGCGGUCAAUUAGGUCUGAUGUGAAAGCCCCCGGCUCAACCGGGGGGGGUCAUUGGAAACUGGUUGACUUGAGUGCAGAAGGGGAGAGUGGAAUUCCAUGUGUAGCGGUGAAAUGCGUAGAUAUAUGGGGGAACACCAGUGGCGAAGGCGACUCUCUGGUCUGUAACUGACGCUGAGGCUCGAAAGCGUGGGUAGCAAACAGG